UACAUGGGGUGCAAACGUUGCUCGGAAUCAUUGGGCGUAAAGCGCACGUAGGCGGUUCGUUAUGUCGGAUGUGAAAGCCCUCGGCUUAACCGGGGAAGUGCAUCCGAAACUGGCGAGCUUGAGUACUAAAGAGGGUCGCGGAAUUCCCGGUGUAGAGGUGAAAUUCGUAGAUAUCGGGAGGAACACCAGCGGCGAAGGCGGCGACCUGGGGUAGAUACUGACGCUGAGGUGCGAAAGCGUGGGGAGCAAACAGG
rnacentral:rRNA from 1 species